CAUUAGGUGGCUGAAAGUAAGCACUGGUCUCUUAAACCAUAUAAUGGUAAUUAACUCCUACCCCUAAUG
rnacentral:tRNA from 1 species